rnacentral:rRNA from 1 species
AUUGAACGCUGGCGGCAGGCCUAACACAUGCGAGUCGAGCGGAUGAAGGGAGCUUGCUCCUGGAUUCAGCGGCGGACGGGUGAGUAAUGCCUAGGAAUCUGCCUGGUAGUGGGGGAUAACGUCCGGAAACGGGCGCUAAUACCGCAUACGUCCUGAGGGAGAAAGUGGGGGAUCUUCGGACCUCACGCUAUCAGAUGAGCCUAGGUCGGAUUAGCUAGUUGGUGGGGUAAAGGCCUACCAAGGCGACGAUCCGUAACUGGUCUGAGAGGAUGAUCAGUCACACUGGAACUGAGACACGGUCCAGACUCCUACGGGAGGCAGCAGUGGGGAAUAUUGGACAAUGGGCGAAAGCCUGAUCCAGCCAUGCCGCGUGUGUGAAGAAGGUCUUCGGAUUGUAAAGCACUUUAAGUUGAGAGGAAGGGCAGUAAGUUAAUACCUUGCUGUUCUGACGUUACCAACAGAAUAAGCACCGGCUAACUUCGUG